rnacentral:rRNA from 1 species
CCUCAAAUCAGGCAGGACUACCCGCUGAACUUAAGCAUAUCAAUAAGCGGAGGAAAAGAAACUAACAAGGAUUCCCCUAGUAACUGCGAGUGAAGCGGGAAGAGCUCAAAUUUAAAAUCUGGCGGCCUGCGGUCGUCCGAGUUGUAAGCUAGAGAAGUGCCGUCCGCGCUGGGGCCGUGUACAAGUCUCCUGGAACGGAGCGUCGUGGAGGGUGAGAACCCCGUCUGUGACACGGACCUCCCAGGGCAUCGGGAUGGCGCCCUCAAAGAGUCGAGUUGUUUGGGAAUGCAGCUCCAAAUGGGUGGUAAACUCCAUCUAAAGCUAAACAUUGGCGAGAGACCGAUAGCGAACAAGUACCGUGAGGGAAAGAUGAAAAGAACUUUGGAAAGAGAGUUAAACAGUACGUGAAAUUGUUGAAAGGGAAACGCUUGAAGUCAGUCGCGUCGGCCUGGGAUCAGCCCCGCAACCGCGAGGUGCACUCCCCGGUCGACGGGUCAGCACCAGUUUCGACCGUUGGAGAAGGGUCGGGGGAAUGUGGCAUCCUUGGAUGUGCUUAUAGCCCCCGAUCGCACGCAUCGGUCGGGAUUGAGGAACUCGGCGCGCCGCAAGGCCGGGUCUCAGACCACGUCCGCGCCCAGGAUGCUGGCACAAU